UUAGACCAAUCAACGUCCCCAUUAUUGGCGCACUAAUUCCCAGAUAACCAAUGGGAAGUGGACUUUGGGAGCAGCGUGAAGCUGUAAGCCUUCCAUCUUGGAACAGGGCGAAGUGACUUGAACUUUAGCAUGUUGCCACAGUACCUACGCCAGCCUGUGGGGGCGGUGGUGGUCUGAGAAUUUGGUCUCACUGCUUGGAUCCAAACAGCGCCUGAUUCCUCCUAGUCCAGUCGGCGUGGAGUCCAGGAGUUCGUCCCUAGGGUCACCGACUGGGCAAUGGAUGAAUGGGAACACGGAGUAGGAACCUUUCUGCCACUUGUGUGACACUUCGGGCAGGACAAGUUCAUGGGAAGGCUGCAUAACCAACCCACGAGGAGUCAGGACCCCAUUUGGUUGAAGCCCUAGCCCAGUGCGGGAAGACCCUUGGACGCCAGGUAAUAAAUGGAAAAGGAACUUGGAUGCAGCCCUUUGCCCUCUAAUGUCAAGCUGCCAAAUUCUGGGGUGCACACCUUGGUUUUGCAAUUCCCACUUUAUGAGCUGGGCCACCAUUACCACAUCAAGAUCUAACCAGCUGUGUGCAGGCAGCCGUGGGACCAUCUGCAGAGGUAAAGACCUAACACUCCAGCAAGAGAGGAUGACAGGGAAAGACUGGGACUGGAGCUUGUGAAGCCUGGGGUAUAUAAAUGGAGGAAGGAGAAGGUGAAGGACAUUCAAGCUGGUAAGGCUGCUCCCAGGGGUCCUCCUGGCUCUGCCCCUUACCGGUUGAGCCUCUGUUCCAAGAUGCGGAUGCGGAACAUGGCCUGAGAGCAGUAGCUCAGCCCUACAUGGGGUGAACAGGGACCAGGGAAGCUGGAGACACAGGCUCUUGCCUUUCCCCAGGGCUCUGAAAAGUCAUCGGAUACUCAGCCUUGCCUCACCAACCCCAGUCUCCUUUAGAAAUCAGCACUAGGUGAAGAGGACUUGGAAGCAAGUCUGAAAACCCAACUGAGCCUCGCCCCUUGGGAGGCCUUGGCUUGGCCACAGCCCUGGAUUGAGGACACCUGGUCUGGAUUUGGAGCGCUCUCUGGGGUGAACCAUGGAAUUGGUCAGCUCAGCCAGUGAUGGUCAGCAAGGAUGCUCACUCAGCAUCAAUGGCAUCAUCUCU